rnacentral:rRNA from 1 species
UACGUAGGGUGCAAGCGUUGUCCGGAAUUAUUGGGCGUAAAGAGCUCGUAGGCGGUCUGUCGCGUCUGCUGUGAAAACUCGGGGCUUAACCCCGGGCCUGCAGUGGGUACGGGCAGACUAGAGUGCGGUAGGGGAGAUUGGAAUUCCUGGUGUAGCGGUGGAAUGCGCAGAUAUCAGGAGGAACACCGAUGGCGAAGGCAGAUCUCUGGGCCGUAACUGACGCUGAGGAGCGAAAGCGUGGGGAGCAAACAGG